AGCAGCCGCGGUAAUUCCAGCUCCAAUAGCGUAUAUUAAAGUUGUUGCAGUUAAAAAGCUCGUAGUUGAAUUUCGAGAUCAAAUUGUUGGUCGUGCCUUGGUACGCACUGGCAUUAUUGGUUUCUCCCUUCUGACGAACCAUGAUGUCAUUAAUUUGGUGUCUUGGGGAAUCAGGACUGUUACUUUGAAAAAUUGAGUGUUUAAAGCAGGCUCACGCUUGAAUACAUUAGCAUGGAAUAAUGAAAUAGGACGUUUGAUUCUAUUUUGUUGGUUUCUAGGAUCGACGUAAUGAUUAAUAGGGAUAGUUGGGGGCAUUAGUAUUCAAUUGUCAGAGGUGAAAUUCUUGGAUUUAUUGAAGACUAACUACUGCGAAAGCAUUUGCCAAGGAUGUUUUCAUUGAUCAAGAACGAAAGUUAGGGGAUCGAAGACGAUCAGAUACCGUCGUAGUCUUAACAUAAACUAUGCCGACUAGGGAUCGGAUGAUGUUAAUUUUUAAUGACUCAUUC
rnacentral:misc_RNA from 1 species